UAAGAUAAUGGUUAGAUAAGCCCAUGGCCUUUGUUUGUGGCCGGGUGACGGGGCUCGGGACGCUCUCUCAAACGAGAAUAUUGGGAUGAACCGGUGAAACUGAAACGUGAAUCAGAACGUGAGUUUACGAAACCUCGCUAUUGUGGUUCAAUUUAAAUUCUCGGCAUCUGCUCCAAAUGGACAACAUGUCGCCAAUACCCUCGCACGCCAGUAAGAAAGAGUUUCGGAGCAAGGGCUUCCUAAAAGCUUUGUUCAAGUUUCUACACCCUGAUGUUCGUUUCAAAGUUAAUCGGAUUAUGUAAUAGUUCGUGAUCACAUGGCAUGACGUCAGGUCUUGUGCCAACGUGGCAGAUAUUUCCAACACGAGGAGAAGGACUCCAUAUUGAACUUUCCUAAAUUUCUCCAUAUAGUUUGCAGUUUCUCUGUUCUUUCCAUAAUGGUCUGAGGAAAGUUCAUGAAGUCCGGAAAAGUGAUGUGAAGUUUCGUCCAACCCGCGGUGACAACGCACAGGUCCUUCUGUACGAGUUGUAAACCAACGCAUGAAGAUAGCCUUUCGUCUUACUACUACAUAUCAAGAAAAACAUAUUCUACUUUUGAUUCACAUGUUCUGUA